UACGUAGGGUGCGAGCGUUAAUCGGAAUUACUGGGCGUAAAGCGUGCGCAGGCGGUUUUGUAAGUCUGACGUGAAAUCCCCGGGCUUAACCUGGGAACUGCAUUUGUGACUGCAUCGCUGGAGUGCGGCAGAGGGGGAUGGAAUUCCGCGUGUAGCAGUGAAAUGCGUAGAUAUGCGGAGGAACACCGAUGGCGAAGGCAAUCCCCUGGGCCUGCACUGACGCUCAUGCACGAAAGCGUGGGGAGCAAACAGG
rnacentral:rRNA from 1 species